UACGUAGGGUGCAAGCGUUGUCCGGAAUUAUUGGGCGUAAAGAGCUCGUAGGCGGUCUGUCGCGUCUGCUGUGAAACUCAGGGCUUAACCCUGAGCUUGCAGUGGGUACGGGCAGACUAGAGUGCGGUAGGGGAGACUGGAAUUCCUGGUGUAGCGGUGAAAUGCGCAGAUAUCAGGAGGAACACCGGUGGCGAAGGCGGGUCUCUGGGCCGUAACUGACGCUGAGGAGCGAAAGCAGUGGGGAGCGAACAGG
rnacentral:rRNA from 1 species